AUUGAACGCUGGCGGCGUGCCUAACACAUGCAAGUCGAGCGGUAACAGGUGUAGCAAUACAUGCUGACGAGCGGCGAACGGGUGAGUAAUGCUUCGGAAUCUGCCCAAUGGUGGGGAAUAACCAGCCGAAAGGUUGGCUAAUACCGCAUACGUCCCACGGGAGAAAGCAGGGGGAUCGCAAGACCUUGCGCCAAUGGAUGAGCCGAAGUCGGAUUAGCUAGNGGUAGGGUAACGGCCUACCAAGGCGACGAUCCGUAGCUGGUCUGAGAGGACGACCAGCCACACUGGGACUGAGACACGGCCCAGACUCCUACGGGAGGCAGCAGUGGGGAAUAUUGGACAAGUGGGGGAAACCCUGAUCCAGCGACGCCGCGUGUGUGAAGAAGGCCUGGCGGGUUGUAAA
rnacentral:rRNA from 1 species